UAAUAUGUAUGAUUUGUGUGUACGGUACAGUAUAUAUCUCUAUGGUACGGUACGAGUAUACGUAUCGCCUGCGCCUAGCUAGCUGACAACAAAGUCGGAGAAUGGAUUGAAACUAAAGAGCUGAAAGAAGUUAACAACAGGAAGCAGAAAGUCCCAUGCAGGAUGAUGCUUCUCUACAGUGGGUGAUGAAGGCAUGCUGGUUUACAAACUCAGGAGAGGAACAAAGAAGAGAUAUUGACGGGAUCAUAUCUAGAGAUGCGGGCCUACUACACUUCAUACGAGCAAGUGUGCUAAUAUACAUACUUGGGUUAUCACUACAGCCCUUUCUUCUGAAAACUAGGCUACAACUUUAGUGAUGAAUGCAGAAGACAUCUACACGGGACUACGUCUUAAAGAUGCCACCCUCAUAUUAUGAAAGUGUACAAUAUAGAUGGGUUUAAACUGGAAUAUUUACAUGAUAUUUAUUUAUUAUUUGUAUUAUAUGUUUGUAGAAUACCACAUUCAAUAAAGCUAAUGAAGUUUAUUAUCUUGUCAACGUAGAAAUAAUUAAAGAUAACUAAUCCUCAAUGAAUAAACAUUAAAAUUCUAACAAUGUAAACUACCAUCUUAUAAGAUGAAACUGAGAACUGGGCAGAAAGAUUCUCCUUGAAAUUUGAGUGAUAAAGAUCUAUCAGUCCAUAUCAAAGAUUGAAUUAAUUAAUGAUAUUUUAAUUAUAAUUUUACUUGUUGAAAUUCAUUUACCUCUAUGGACGGGGGGGGGGGCAGCUUGCUAUCCUCUUCCUGGUGCUAUUAUUACAUGGCCCAUGGACUUAGAAAGUGAAAAGUUUUGAAUUAUAGCAUUAGUGUUGGUGGAAGUAACGGCAGUGUUGAUUGUUAAUGGGAGGGGGGGGGGUUGUUUCCCCAGUGAAAUUAACGGUAUACCAAUGUAAAGUUAAUUAAAAAAAGAGAAAACUAUUCUUAAAAAUAAAAAUUAUACAGGACAUGGCCUCCUAACAAAAA